CCGACAUCCCAGACGCCCGUGUCCCAUUGUCUUACAUGUUGACUAAUCCGAGUCUGGCGUCCCUCUGGAGUCCGUGCCGCUAGACUGCCGUGCUACCGACCUCGCGCGGGGAGUUCCGCCCCUUUCUUCCGAAGCCCCGCCCCUUCCCCAUUGUGCGCCAAUCACAUUGUUUCCCGCUCAUUGUACGCCAAUCACGCCAUUUGCCGUCCGUUCUUCAUAUGGUGAUUGGCGGACAAUGCGCAGAUGACACAUGAGUGGCUGGGAGGUUCGGCGCAUGGCAAACGCGGCGUGACGGGGCAGGAAAAGUCGCCCAUGCUUCAAAGAAUGGGUGCAAAAUGGCUUGAAAAGAAAGAGCGUUAUACCCAUUCUUUUGUUCCACGUAAAUGACGAGCGCUCCGCCGAAACUCGCCCAAAAGUAUAAGUGUCAACAGUGGUAGCCGAAUCGGUGGUGUACACGGCAGGAAGUUGCAGGGCGGCCGGCGUGCCUUCGGGAGUCGCGUCAGGAGGAUCCUUCGCUCUCCGCCGUCGCCGUCGCCGUCGGGAACGAAGAGUCAGCUGCAUAAGACCCAUUUAGAACCGAGGCGUCGAUUUUCGUCAUUUUAAAAAGUGGAAUGAAAGUGUUCUUAAAAGGAAUCAUUACUCGAGACUCGGGGGAUAGCUAGCGAACCUCGGGAGAACCAGGAGCUGAAGAAAAGACACUUUUAGCGGUUCACAGUCAUCGUCUAAGUGUGCGAGUGACGUCACGAAGUGGUAAGACAAAGGCAGAGCAGAAAAGAAAGGCUGAAGUUCAACCGUAAAAGAUAAAGGAAAGAAGAAAAGGAAGAAAGAAAAA